rnacentral:rRNA from 1 species
UACGUAGGGUGCGAGCGUUAAUCGGAAUUACUGGGCGUAAAGCGUGCGCAGGCGGUGAGCUGUGUCCGAUGUGAAAGCCCCGGGCUUAACCUGGGAAUGGCAUUGGAAACUGGCUCGCUGGAGUGUGGCAGAGGGGGGUGGAAUUCCGCGUGUAGCAGUGAAAUGCGUAGAGAUGCGGAGGAACACCGAUGGCGAAGGCAGCCCCCUGGGCCAAUACUGACGCUCAUGCACGAAAGCGUGGGGAGCAAACAGG